rnacentral:rRNA from 1 species
UACGUAGGGUGCGAGCGUUAAUCGGAAUUACUGGGCGUAAAGUGUGCGCAGGCGGCCGAGCAAGUCGAGUGUGAAAGCCCCGGGCUUAACUUGGGAAUUGCGCUCGAAACUACUUGGCUGGAGUGUGGCAGAGGAAGGUGGAAUUCCACGUGUAGCGGUGAAAUGCGUAGAGAUGCGGAGGAACACCGAUGGCGAAGGCAGCCCCCUGGGCCAAUACUGACGCUCAGGCACGAAAGCGUGG